AAUCUUCUUUAGAUUUUAUGGCACAAGAAUUAAAGAAGAAAAAAGAAACAUCAAGGGAGAAGGAUUUCUUCUCAUAUCCAAAGUCCUCAUUGGAAUUCUACUUAAAGAAUGAAAUCGAUUUCUAGUUAAAGAAGGGAUUUGAUUUCUAUUUAAAGAAGGAAUUUGAUCUCUACUUAAAGGACUUUGAUUUCUACUUAAAGGAGGAUUUUUUUAGCAUCUU
rnacentral:lncRNA from 1 species